GCCGACGUGGCGGAGUGGUUAACGCACCAGAUUGGAGAUCUGGGCCUUUCGGGGCUCACAGGUUCGAAUCCUGUCGUCGGCG
rnacentral:tRNA from 1 species